AUGUUCUAAAUUAUCCAAUAGAGUGCUUCCAAUCUACAAAUUGUGUCGGAAUGUACACAGAGAAAUAGGAUAGUAUGUGAAAAUGUGAUUAUGGAUUAACCUAUUUAUAGAAUUGAACAUGUACCCUCCCUUUCAGGGAGAAGGCAGUUAGUAGUGAUGGGGGGGGUAAGCAUUUGAGUGAGGUUGGUAAGAAACAUAGGGGCAGCUGGUAACUGUUUGUUCAGGGUGCUGUACUAAGAAAAAUCACCAUCAGUGUAACAUUCACUAAAUAAUUUUACUUGUGUAAAUUUAUUUAUUUAUUUAUUUAUUUAUUUAUUUAUUUAUUUAUUUGCAGGACUGCACGUGGAGCACUGCAGGGAGAAGAUUUUUUUUUUUUUUAAGAUUUUAUUUAUUUAUUCACGACUGGAUCCCAGGUCUCCAGGAUCACACCCCAGCCAAAGGUGGUGCCAAACCACUGGGCCACCAGGGCUACCCUGCUCAGCUAUUUUUAAAGUUCACUUGAAGUUCAUAAUUAGGUUUUCCUGUUUUCUCUUACUGAUUUAAUAGUUUCUGAAUAUUUUCCAUAAGACACCUAAUUUAAGUUAAGCAAGAAUAAUAUCCACAUAAUUGAAUUUAUCCAAAUCUAAAAUUUUCCAUAAAAUAAACUUCAAAAAGAACACAUGAUUUACAAAUAUGUGUAUUUUUCAUGGUGAUAUGAUAAUGAUAUAAUAACAGUAAUCAUUACACAAAGAAAACAUAUGCAAGCUUUAAUAUACAAAAAAAUUUUCAGUUUCCUUUUUUAAAAAAAAAAUUAUUUGAGAGAGUGUGCACACAGAAGCAUAUGAGCACAAGCAGGAGCAGCAGCAGAGGGAGAAGUACAGGGCUUCAUCCCAGGACCCUGGGAUCAUGACCUGAGCCAAAGGAAGACACUUAACCAACUGAGCCACCCAGGCUCCCCUGUCACAGAGUUUCCAUUAGAAAUCCAUAUAGUGGGAUGCCUGGGUAGCUCAGCAGCUGAGUGUCUGCCUUUGACUCAGGGAGUGAUCCUAGGGUACUGUGAUUGAGUCCCACCUUGGACUCCUGCAGAGAGCCUACUUCUUCCUUUGCCUAUGUCUCUGACUUUAUCUCUGUCUCUCAUGAAUAAAUAAAAUCUUUAAAAAAAUCCAUAUAGUCAUUUGCUUAGCAUACUAUAAUACUAUAUAGACUAAUCCAUAUACUUCCUUUAAAAAA
rnacentral:lncRNA from 1 species